rnacentral:rRNA from 1 species
UACGAAGGGGGCUAGCGUUGUUCGGAAUUACUGGGCGUAAAGCGCACGUAGGCGGAUCGAUCAGUCAGGGGUGAAAUCCCAGGGCUCAACCCUGGAACUGCCUUUGAUACUGUCGAUCUGGAGUAUGGAAGAGGUGAGUGGAAUUCCGAGUGUAGAGGUGAAAUUCGUAGAUAUUCGGAGGAACACCAGUGGCGAAGGCGGCAUCCUGGACCGGCAUUGACGCUGAUGAGCGAAAGCUAGGGGAGCAAACGGG